GGAGAGGUGGCUGAGUGGUCGAAGGCACCUGACUCGAAAUCAGGCGUUCGGGCAACCGGACCGGGAGUUCGAAUCUCCCCCUCUCCG
rnacentral:tRNA from 1 species